AGCGGCGGACGGGUGAGUAACGCGUGGGUAACCUGCCCUGUACACACGGAUAACAUACCGAAAGGUAUGCUAAUACGAGAUAAUAUGCUUUUAUCGCAUGGUAGAAGUAUCAAAGCUUUGGCGGUACAGGAUGGACCCGCGUCUGAUUAGCUAGUUGGUAAGGUAACGGCUUACCAAGGCGACGAUCAGUAGCCGACCUGAGAGGGUGAUCGGCCACAUUGGAACUGAGACACGGUCCAAACUCCUACGGGAGGCAGCAGUGGGGAAUAUUGCACAAUGGGCGAAAGCCUGAUGCAGCAACGCCGCGUGAGCGAUGAAGGCCUUCGGGUCGUAAAGCUCUGUCCUCAAGGAAGAUAAUGACGGUACUUGAGGAGGAAGCCCCGGCUAACUACGUGCCAGCAGCCGCGGUAAUACGUAGGGGGCUAGCGUUAUCCGGAAUUACUGGGCGUAAAGGGUGCGUAGGUGGUUUCUUAAGUCAGAGGUGAAAGGCUACGGCUCAACCGUAGUAUGCCUUUGAAACUGGGAAACUUGAGUGCAGGAGAGGAGAGUGGAAUUCCUAGUGUAGCGGUGAAAUGCGUAGAUAUUAGGAGGAACACCAGUUGCGAAGGCGGCUCUCUGGACUGUAACUGACACUGAGGCACGAAAGCGUGGGGAGCAAACAGGAUUAGAUACCCUGGUAGUCCACGCCGUAAACGAUGAGUACUAGCUGU
rnacentral:rRNA from 1 species